UGAGUAACACGUAUGCAACCUGCCUGCCACAGCCGGAUAAUCGGGAGAAAUUCCGUCUAAUACGGCAUAAUGCAUCGACGGGACAUCCUGUUGGUGCCAAAGGUUAAUUCCGGUGGCGGAUGGGCAUGCGUCGCAUUAGUUAGUUGGCGGUGCAACGGACCACCAAGACGACGAUGCGUAGGGGUUCUGAGAGGAAGGUCCCCCACACUGGUACUGAGACACGGACCAGACUCCUACGGAAGGCAGCAG
rnacentral:rRNA from 1 species